ensembl:snRNA U6 U6 spliceosomal RNA
GUGCUUGCUUUGGCAGCACAUAUACUAAAAUGGGAAUGAUACAGAGAAGAUUAGCAUGGCCCCUGCACUAGAAUGACACACAAAUUCCUGAAACAUUCUGUAUUAUA